UCAUUCUCUACCCAGCCGUCCUCUGACUUUUUUCACAGGAUAGCAUCCUGGGCUGAGCCGCCUUUCAACAAGGAUGAAGAACUGAGCCGUUCGCCCAGCUGCAGGUGAGUGGGCUCAUGGCUUCGUCGUCACUGCAGAGAGCACCGAGGAUCAUUCAGGAAGUGGAAAGUGAAAUCAGAAGAAAGCAAAAACCCAGCAGAGCGGGAGAGUCAAGCUGCGGGCUAGGCAGAGCCGAGGGCCUGUUAGCCUCGUGAAGUGAUUGACUGAACAUUCCAAACCCGAUGGAUUACAUGCCUGCCCUGGGCACAGCUUCCAGGGAGGGAUCCAGCUCUGUUGAAAUGUCUUACAGAAAAGUUGGGAGAAAGAUUGAAGGACCUGAAGAGGACAGGGAGACUCCACAGGAAGAUCAACAGAAUCAACUAACCUGGACUCCUGGACGCUCCCAGAGACUGAAUCACCAACCAAAGAGCAAGCACCAGCUGGACCUAGGCCCCUGCACAUAUAUAGCAGAUGUGCAGCUUGAUCUUCAUGUGAGUCCCCCAAAUAAUUGGAACAGGGGCUGUCCCUGAGCCUGUUGUCUACCUGCCCGUCUGUGGUUCCCACACCCCUAAAUGGACAGCCGUGUCUGGCCUCAGUGGGAGAGGAUGUGCCUAGUCCUGCAGCAACUUGAUAUGCAGGGUAGAGGGUGGGAUUGGGAUAAGAUGGGGAUGGGGGGGUGUGGCACCCAGAAGGGAGGCUUACCCUUCUAAGGAGAGUGGGAAAGGACUUUCAUGAAGCGGUACUUGGAGGAAAGGAAGGACUGAUAUUGAGUUGUAAAGUCAAUACAUAAUAAUAAAAUAGAA